UACUACUUUGGCAGAAAAUAUGUAUUAGAUUUAGGAUUUAAUUAAAUAGAGAAUAUCUAUAGGUAGUAA
rnacentral:tRNA from 1 species